AGCGUAGGUUGUUGUUUAAGUGAAAUGUGAAAGCCCGUGGCUCAACUACGGAACUGCAUUUCAUACUGGACGACUAGAGUGCAGGAGGGGUAAGCGGAAUUCCUAGUGUAGCGGUGAAAUGCGUAGAUAUUAGGAAGAACACCGGUGGCGAAGGCGGCUUACUGGACUGUAACUGACACUGAGGCUCGAAAGCGUGGGGAGCAAACA
rnacentral:rRNA from 1 species